rnacentral:miRNA from 15 species
GGCCACUACCUCGCACUCACGUG